UGGCUCAGUGGUUAAGAGCACUGACUGCUCUUCCAGAGGUCCUGGGUUCAAAUCCCAG
rfam:Rattus norvegicus chromosome 8, whole genome shotgun sequence.